AAUUGGAGGGCAAGUCUGGUGCCAGCAGCCGCGGUAAUUCCAGCUCCAAUAGCGUAUAUUAAAGUUGUUGCAGUUAAAAAGCUCGUAGUUGAAUUUCGGGAUUGACGUGACGGUCGUGCCUUACGGGGUAUGAACUGUCGCCGUUGAUUUCUCACCUUCUGGAGAAGCUCGAUGUCCUUAGUUGGGUGUCUUGCGGAACCAGGACCUUUACCUUGAAAAAAUUAGAGUGUUUAAAGCAGGCAUUUUGCUCGAAUACAUUAGCAUGGAAUAAUAGAAUAGGACGGCAUGGUUCUAUUUUGUUGGUUUCUAGGAUCACCGUAAUGAUUAAUAGGGAUAGUUGGGGGCAUUAGUAUUCAAUUGUCAGAGGUGAAAUUCUUGGAUUUAUUGAAGACUAACUACUGCGAAAGCAUUUGCCAAGGAUGUUUUCAUUAAUCAAGAACGAAAGUUAGGGGAUCGAAGACGAUCAGAUACCGUCGUAGUCUUAACCAUAAACUAUGCCGACUAGGAAUCAGACGAUGUUAAUUUUUUAAUGACUCGUUUGGCACCUUACGGGAAACCAAAGUGU
rnacentral:rRNA from 1 species